rnacentral:lncRNA from 1 species
CAUGCAUGCCCAAAAUUUUUCUCUCUUUCUCUCUUACAUGGAAUGUGGUUGUGGACCAAGUCAAAGUAGGAAUUAGUUUGGAUUUCAAAUUCUAUGAGAUAGAGUUUUAGAAAACCAAAAGUCUUUCCUUAUGGCACUAAUUUUACUCAGAUUUUUUUUGAGAUUUUAGUGGCUUUUAUGACACAUAAUAUUAACCCUUUGCUGGUGGUCCAUGGUAGGAAAAAAAGAGGGGACGCCC